UGGGGAAUCUUGGACAAUGGGCGCAAGCCUGAUCCAGCCAUGCCGCGUGAGUGACGAAGGCCUUAGGGUCGUAAAGCUCUUUCGCCAGGGAUGAUAAUGACAGUACCUGGUAAAGAAACCCCGGCUAACUCCGUGCCAGCAGCCGCGGUAAUACGGAGGGGGUUAGCGUUGUUCGGAAUUACUGGGCGUAAAGCGCGCGUAGGCGGACUAUUAAGUGAGAGGUGAAAUCCCGGGGCUCAACCCCGGAACUGCCUUUCAUACUGGUAGUCUAGAGUUCGAGAGAGGUGAGUGGAAUUCCGAGUGUAGAGGUGAAAUUCGUAGAUAUUCGGAGGAACACCAGUGGCGAAGGCGGCUCACUGGCUCGAUACUGACGCUGAGGUGCGAAAGCGUGGGGAGCAAACAGGAUUAGAUACCCCCGUAGUCC
rnacentral:rRNA from 1 species